UAUACGCCCAUGAGACACAGGAAAAAGGCAGCAGAGAAGAACGUCCCGUCCAGACCACGGGUGUGUGCUGUUCUAGAUCUGAUGGUUGAGUUCAUUGUAACUCAUAUGAUGAAGGACUUUCCUAUGGAUCUCUACAUGCGUUGUGUACAGGUGAUCCACAAGCUGAUCUGCUACCAGAAGAAAUGCAGAAUCAGGUUACACUAUACCUGGAGAGAACUGUGGUCCG